UAGGUAGAGAAGCAAAGAAAAACCACCAGCAUCUAGAUCUAUAAAAGACUCUAGUUGUGGUUAGAUAUUUUAGCCCCCACAAUUAGGUUUUGAGGUUCUUAUAUUCAAAGGAUGUGGGGGAAUCUCUUUUAAAUUAAGGUUAGGGUUAUAUUAGGAAAGUGAAAAUGUGGCUGCUGCUCAAGGGCCAACUCUGAUUUCACCCGGAAUUGCCAACCAAUGGCUCUGUUUUCACCGACGAAAGCCAACAUAGGCUUACGUUUAACCCACAAGCAACCUCUCCACUCUAGUUUUUUCUUGUACCCUGGUGGUCCUUUUGACUAUUUGUAGUUCACUACUUGGGAAAUAAUUCAAAUCAUAAAUGAAUGUUCCCUCUUUUUUCUUCUUUUUUCUUUUUUUCCUGCUACCAUUUAUUUUGUAUAUUCAUGCCUAUUCCUUAUUUUGGAGCUAAUUUGUUCAAUCUCCAUUCGAUAAAUGGUUGUCAUGGCUUUUCGUGGAAUGCAUGUGUCAUAUCAUUAUUCAGGAUUGUCCCAACUAUUUGGCGUUGGCUAUUGAAUGAGUCUGUUUCUUCGUGCUUGUGGUGGUGAGCAUCUUCUUUGUUGCAUCUCAUAUAUGACAAGUGAACUGUGACAUUCUGUUUGAAGCUCAACUUUAGGGAACUAUUCAGGACCACCUACAAAUAUUCAACAUUAAGAUGAAGGCAAAAAUGAAAUCACAUCAGAUGCCUGAGCAGGUGAUAAUGUCAUCCACUUUAAACUUUAUUAGCUCACUUUUCUAUUUGUUUCAUAGGUUGUUUCGUUUCUCAAUUAGUUUCCAUGCUAUAUUGUUAUAUUCACAGGUUGUGUUUUGGAAGUGGAUUACGCCAAAGAUGUUGGGGCUGGUCACACAAACAUCAGUGUAUCAUUGGUCAAUAGAAGGUGAUUCAGAGUGUAUAAAGAUUUGUUUCAGAUAUUUUGAUAUGUAACCAUGUGCUAAUA